UAGGGAAUCUUCCGCAAUGGGCGAAAGCCUGACGGAGCAACGCCGCGUGAGUGAUGAAGGUCUUCGGAUCGUAAAACUCUGUUAUUAGGGAAGAACAAAUGUGUAAGUAACUAUGCACGUCUUGACGGUACCUAAUCAGAAAGCCACGGCUAACUACGUGCCAGCAGCCGCGGUAAUACGUAGGUGGCAAGCGUUAUCCGGAAUUAUUGGGCGUAAAGCGCGCGUAGGCGGUUUUUUAAGUCUGAUGUGAAAGCCCACGGCACAACCGUGGAGGGUCAUUGGAAACUGGAAGACUUGAGUGCAGAAGAGGAAAGUGGAAUUCCAUGUGUAGCGGUGAAAUGCGCAGAGAUAUGGAGGAACACCAGUGGCGAAGGCGACUUUCUGGUCUGUAAAUGACGCUGAUGUGCGAAAGCGUGGGGUUCAAACAGG
rnacentral:rRNA from 1 species